rnacentral:rRNA from 1 species
GUAGGUGGCAAGCGUUGUCCGGAAUUAUUGGGCGUAAAGCGCGCGCAGGUGGUUCUUUAAGUCUGAUGUGAAAGCCCCCGGGCUCAACCGGGGAGGGUCAUUGGACACUGGGGAACUUGAGUGCAGGAGAGGAAAGUGGAAUUCCACGUGUAGCGGUGAAAUGCGUAGAUAUGUGGAGGAACACCAGUGGCGAAGGCGACUUUCUGGCCUGUAACUGACACUGAGGCGCGAAAGCGUGGGGAGCAAACAGGAUUAGAUACCCUGGUAGUCCACGCCGUAAACGAUGAGUGCUAAGUGUUGGGGGGUUUCCGCCCCUCAGUGCUGCAGCUAACGCAUUAAGCACUCCGCCUGGGGAGUACGGUCGCAAGACUG